UACGAGGGGGGCAAGUGUUGUUCGGAUUUACUGGGUGUAAAGGGAGUGUAGGCGGCUUGAUAAGUCAGGGGUGAAAUGCCCGCGCUUAACGCGGUGCUCUGCCUUUGAUACUGUCAGGCUUGAAUGUUGGAGAGGGUAACGGAAUUUCAGGUGUAGCGGUGGAAUGCGUAGAUAUCUGAAAGAACACCAGUUGCGAAGGCGGUUACCUGGCCAAACAUUGACGCUGAGGCUCGAAAGCCGAGGGA
rnacentral:rRNA from 1 species